rfam:Verrucomicrobiaceae bacterium GAS474 genome assembly, chromosome: I
GCCGGCGUGGCGAAAUGGCAGACGCGACAGACUCAAAAUCUGUUUUACGCAAGUAAGUGUCGGUUCGAGUCCGACCGCCGGCA